rnacentral:tRNA from 1 species
GAGGGUAUAGCUCAAUGGCAGAGCGCAUGCUUAGCAUGCACAAGGUCCCAGGUUCAAUCCCCAGUACCUCCA